UACGGGGGGGGCAAGCGUUGUCCGGAUUUAUUGGGCGUAAAGAGCUCGUAGGCGGCUCGUUGCGUCGGCUGUGAAAACCCGCAGCUUAACUGUGGGCCUGCAGCCGAUACGGGCGGGCUGGAGUUCGGUAGGGGAGACUGGAAUUCCUGGUGUAGCGGUGAAAUGCGCAGAUAUCAGGAGGAACACCGGUGGCGAAGGCGGUUCUCUGGGCCUUACCUGACGCUGAGGAGCGAAAGCGUGGGGAGCGAACAGG
rnacentral:rRNA from 1 species